GGGGGUAUAGCUCAGUUGGUAGAGCGUCUGCAUGGCAUGCAGAAGGUCAGGAGUUCGAAUCUCCUUACCUCCACCA
rnacentral:tRNA from 1 species